CAUCACGGAGGUACUACACGGCGUGGCUGGAGCUGGAGUUUGGCGUGUUCGAGAAACAAAGCGUAGAGCUGAGACGUGAAGCUGAAGAGGAUCUCUGAUGAUUGCCUGGAGGACAGACGAAGUGAUGCCAGUUUGCACAUUCUUAAAAUCCUUGUUGUCCGUGCUGUUGAAGGGGAGGAACCAGUUGGUGUAUCCAUAAUCCUUGAAGGAAAGGAAAUUUUGCAAGAAUGUGGCAAUACUGCAAAUGCAUGUGCACUGCUUAUGGGAAUAAUUUAUGCCAUAAACCUUGCAGACCCCCGAGCACUGCGUUACACAUUUGAGCUAUUUCAGAAAGU